UGUGCUUUCCCUGCCAAGGGCCAGGGUUCAAUCCCGCAAGCGAAAACAAAAACAACAAAACUUUUACAGUGACAAGACCAAGGCACAGAGAGACGGCGACCUUUGAUCUGUGGAGACCUUCGAGACCAUCCUGGCCCAGACCCCCACUCCCCGCGAGCUCAGAUGAGGACACAGCAACCCGGAAAGAGGAAAGGACUGGUCUACGGUCAUGACCCACGAUUUGAACUUGACUAGAGCCCACAGGAGGGACAGAACAAGCUCUAAGGGGAAAUGAAUCAGUUCUGAAAAGGGGAUGAAGACAGGAUGGCAGAACAGAUGUUGGAUUGCUUGGUCAGGCAAUACAUCUUCCUUAGCACAGGCCAGGUGCUGGGCUAGGCCUUGCCUUUUGGCUACGGGUUGGCAAAUUCCACGAGAAAAGGCAGACUGCACCUUGACCUUGCUGCAGUGCUUACUGGAUUAGUGCCAGACGGGACGUGGCCUGCUCCCCGGCACAGCCUUGACGGGGGAUGGGGACAGAUGUGGACUUUGCGGCUCUAGUUGGUGCAGGACCAGCCUCGGGAUGAGAGUCACAGACUCACCUUCCCAGGUGUGCACUGAUGUUUUGGGGAGCACUGGCCAGCACGGCUGGUCGUAAAUGAGACCCGUGGUGUCCUUCUUAGAGAAUUUCUGGCGUUUGCACCCCAUGCUUACGAAAGCUGGCCAGCGAUUCUGUUACCAACCCUGCCUGACGCUGUACUUGUGGUUGCCAGAGGGGGGUGCUAAGGAGCAAGGAGACAGCAAGGGGACCAGUCCCAGCAAGAGGAAGUACCUUGGGAGUAGAAUCAACUCACCAGUGAGAUCCUCAUAAACCAUAAAGAAGCUCACGUUUGCAGAGAAAAGCGAGAGAUGUCAUCACCGACUCAAUGAAAAUGUGUCUGAGCAAACUCAGGGAGAUGGUGAAGAACAGGGAAGUCUGGUGUGCUGCAGCCCAUGGGGUCACAGAGUCAGACACAACGGA